rnacentral:rRNA from 1 species
AUUGAACGCUGGCGGCAGGCCUAACACAUGCAAGUCGCACGAGUGGCGGACGGGUGAGUACUGUCUGGGAAACUGCCCGAUGGAGGGGGAUAACUACUGGAAAAGGUAGCUAAUACCGCAUACCAUCGUAUGUGCCCAGCUGGGAUUAGCUAGUAGGUGGGGUAAUGGCUCCGCGAGGCGACGAUCCAUAGCUGGUCUGAGAGGAUGACAAGCCACACGGGAACUGGGACAAGGUCACGACUCCUACGGGAGGCAGCAGUGGGGAAUAUCGCACAAUGGGCGCAAGCCUGAUGCAGCCAUGUCGCGUGUAUGAAGAAGGCCUUCGGGUUGUAAAGUACUUGCAGCGAGGAGGCGUUACUCGGAGAAGAAGCACAGACUAACUCCGUGACAGCAGCCGCGGUAAUUC